AUUAUGAAUGCUAACUUUAUUUCUGUACAAAAUUAAAAAAAAAUUAGAAGCUUAUUCAUUAAGGAACACUUUUUUAAUUGAAGUCUUCGAUACCAAAGUGUGGCUGUAUAUACAUUGACAUACACGGAUAUAAAAAAAAGUGACCCUCGCUUUUCAUUCAUUAAUUUAUCUUUCUAUUAGCAAUUAAUAUCCGAGUGCGCUUCGUCACCUAAAGCAGAAAAUGUCCGAUUCUGGUAGAAAACGCUUGAAAAUCCACGUUGUUUACUGGUAAGAUUUUCUUUUUCCCCAUUUACGUAAUUUUUCAAUAAUAUUCAAUUUUAAUAUUAUUUAUAAAAUAUAUUUUAGUCACGAAAGUUUUCUUUUCAACCGAGGAACUUGUGAGUUCGGAAAAGGAAUUCGUAUUUGAAGUCGAGAAAUAUUACAAUGAAGUGUCUAGAAAUUCCAAAGGGCCCAUCUGUCUAAACAUAUUUACUUUAGACAACUUUAGUUGACAACUAACGAUUCUUAAGGUCUGCCGACAAAUCCGGUCUCUACUUGAAGUCUACGUUGUUUGCACCGAGGUGAGAAUUCAUUCUUCUGUAACGAAUAAUCUGGUCUUUCUCCCUUCAACGAUUAUCCUUAUUUAGUCUCUGCUCCGCAAACCUACGAACAAAGACAUUAAAGAUUUUUCCAUCGCGACCGGCCGGCUUCUUUUCCUUUCUUUCUAGCAAAAGUCAUAGAGUACCACAUUAUGUAAUCAG
rnacentral:lncRNA from 1 species